rnacentral:rRNA from 1 species
AUACGUAGGGGGCGAGCGUUGUCCGGAAUUACUGGGCGUAAAGGGUGCGUAGGUGGCAAUUUAAGUUGGAUGUGAAAUCCCCGGGCUUAACCUGGGUGGUGCAUUCAAAACUGGAUAGCUAGAGUGCAGGAGAGGGAAGCGGAAUUCCUAGUGUAGGAGUGAAAUCCGUAGAUAUUACGAGGAACUCCGAUUGCGCAGGCAGCUUACUAAACCACUACUGACGCUCAUGCACGAAGGCGUGGGGAUC